UGAAAUUGAGAAUCAUUUGAAUGAAC
rnacentral:piRNA from 1 species